rnacentral:sRNA from 1 species
AUGUGAAGAUCUUAAAAGGCAUACAUCCACAAAAGGGACAUUCUUUCCCAGAAAAAAAAAGGAAGUUCUUCAAAUGCUUCAGUCCUCACCUUCAACUCUUUAUUCUGAGUUUCCAAAUAUUCUAUUUUAUCCCUCAUUGUCUGCAAGAAAUAGUUAAAAUAAUUAAACAAACAUGAAACAUUUACACAGAGGUUCCAUAUAAAAUCUGAAGUAUUAUACCUUUUUCUCUGCCUCCUCAAGAGCAAACCUUUCCUGAGGAAUAUAAAUUCCAUUCUUUUCCCUUGCAGCUUUUACAUCUGAUAAUUUAGUGAUAUACACUUGAGAUCCUGUAAUAAUGUGAGUAACAAAAGGAAAACAAGAAAAUUGAAGAUAACCUUGUUUCAUUCUUUCCAUUUCCUGGUAGAGAUCCUUGAGUAUUACAGAUUUGCAAACUUUUUGGUUUGCCUGCAAGAUAGUUGAGUCCAUAAAAUGGAUAAAAAUAGUACAAUGCAUGAAAAGAAGUUAAGUAGCACCUCUGGCUUGUUUUUUAUGCUUUUAGCACGAUAAGCAUAAUCAAGUGUAACUACUGUUUCUUCUAGGCAAUGGAUGGAGGGAGAAACCGUAGCUAUUAUGCACGUUUUGGCUUUUCCACCUAAAGAUUCCCUUAGCAGUCUGGUGAGCUUACUGUCCCUGGUGAGUGUAUGAAAGAAAAUGCAUUACUGCCAGCCUCAGUUAACAGAAAUGAUUAUGAGCUUAUAAGUCUAAUACAAGCACAGCGGUAUUACCUGUAUGGCACAUGAACCGAAUGUUCCACAAGUGCAGUAAUAACACGACCCAGGGUUAACAAGCUCUUAUUCAUCUCUCCUGCUUCUCUUGCUCUACCCUAUCAGCAUGCUAGAAAUCAUGAUUUCAAAAUGGACUAACAUCCUACGUUAGUAUGACAGUAAAAUGGAAUGUGAAACAUAAAAUAUUCAGUUUCAACAACAUAGGACACAUCAAAGUUCUCAGUCAACACUAAAAGAGUGUUUUCAUUUUUAAUGUGAACAUACUAUUGAAAGCCAACAAUGAUAAUUAGAGGGCCUAUGACAUUCCUGAAUUGGAUAGAGUUCUUCAAUGCCAUUAUUCAAACAAUGCACCGGGAAUGAUUAACUAAGCUAGUAAGUGAUGACAGGACAAUUUAAUCAGAAUCACAAAUCAGUCAGCAACAGAACCGGAUACCUCUCUUGCACCUGACCGAGCAAUAUUCUCUGAUCCUGCCAAGUCUACAAGGUUCAAUCUCCCGCACUUCAGGAGUUCCUGAUUCCCUACUGUUGUUUCUUUGACAUGGAUGUAUAUAGAAAAGACAGAAUGUGAUCGGCUGCAGGUCCAGAGGUGCACAUUGUCAGUAUCCAAUUGACAACCCUAUUGGCACUGUAAGGAAAAAGGGAAGUGAACAAAUCAUGUACCUGCUUUGCUUAUUUAGUGCAGUGUCAGCAGUACGCCUCCUAGCUGACCCAUGUUCUAGAAGAUUGUAUAUCUCACUAGCACUGUAGACAACGACCUCUUCAAGGCCUCUGAUGACUGCCCCGCCUUUGCGAUCUUCCAUGAGAGAUAUUGCCCUCUUCUGUCUAUCUUCAGGGAAUCUGCUCUGGUCCUCUAAGGCCAACAGAUCUGUGAUUUCUUCAUUGUAGAGCUCCAAGAAGGUUACCUUCAUGCUAUAGUCAGCCUUUCGUUCUUCCAAAAUAUCGAAGAUAUCGCGCACUGCUCUUGGGAUGACACCAGCAGUAGCUGACAGUUCACUGGCCUAAAAGAUUAGAUGAGGCAAAUAAUUUAGUUGCUGCAUGUAACUUCUCACUUCUCACAAAGUUUCAAUUUGUACAGUACCUUCUGCCUCAUCUCUCCCUCCAUCGUAUAUGUUUUCCCAGUUCCAGUUUGCCCGAAGGCAAAUACAGUACAAUUGUAGCCCUCAAGCACAUCUUUAACGAUCGGCUUAACAGCACGAUCAUAUAUCGACCUUUGCUGAGCUUUUGGACCAAAAACCUGGGGAUAAAACAACAACGUACAUAUAACAAAGUUCAUGAGAAACAAUAUCAAUCCUCCUGUAUUCAGCAAUAUGAAAUUAUGUUAAGAUUUUACGAUGCAUAAGAUUCUGACCCUCUAGAAAUCAACCAUCAAACCACAUGGCAACUGUUUGACACUACUGCAAGCAUCGAAAAAAAUAAACCCACAUUACAAGCAGAGAAACUGAGUGGCCGGUAGUGGCGUUACCUUAUCAAAGGUGAACGUCUUGUCUGCUUGCUUGAAUAGGCUGUGCAACACAGUGACCUCCCUCUUCAAGUCAUCGCAAGAGAUGGCACUCUGCACAUUCGCUCUCUGCUCCUCCUCGCUUAGUGGCCUGAUUGCGCACCAUUUCAGACAAACGCAUCAGAGACACCAUAGCCGAGCGCAAAUGAACAGUUAACAACACAUUCUCCCACCCCGAGUAUUUAGCAGCAAUCUGUUCAGUAUUUUUCACAGCUGCCGAAUAGGAUGAACUCCCAAGUAGAAGCGGUUUGAACUCUCGGACUAGGAUUCGCCAUAUCGCCUAACGGCUAAGCGGUGGAGCAAACUCCAGAGCACCUUACCUGCACCGGAGCACAACCUGCACGUUGGCCUCGCAGUCCUUCAUCUCGCUCCCGCCGCCGCCGCCGCCGCCUCCUCCGGUUAACCCGACCCCGCUGCGGCGCGCGGAGCUCUGCGAGCCCCCGUCCGCCCAGCGCAGCUCCAGCUGGCGCCGCUCCGGCCGCGGCGUCAGGAACGGGUGCGGCGGCGGCCCCACCAACGACCUCCGGCUAGGGUUCGGCGUCUGCGCCAUGCCGCAGGUCGUUGCCGCCGCCGGCGCAGGGAGAUCGCGUGGCUUUUUUGCGGCGAUGGGGGAGUGAUUUGGUCGGCGAUUUGGGGGAGGAUUUGGGGAGAUAGAGAUGGAGUUGGCCGCCUUUUCCUCGUGCCGGAGAAAUUUGAAUUCGGGCGACUCGAUGAGUGAGAGUGAGUGGGCCCCGGUUGUACACGCGCCGGCAGAGAUUCGACACGUGGCGUCGUACGAGUGGAAGGCUUCGGGGCUUUCGGGAUGGUGGGCCAUGGCCCGAUUCAAAGCUUAAUUUAAGGCUUCCAGGGAGCGAGUUUAGUAGUCGUCGUCUUGGGCCUUCUCAUGGGCCUUGCCAGUUGGAUGAGGCCCGGUAUGGAUAAAUAAACAAAUAACCAAGGUUUGAAGGAUUAAUCUUAACCGGAAGUGGAGGAUUCUCUCAAAAAACAUUUGAAAAUGGAGAAAGUGUGGAUUUUUUUUUCUGUCAUUAUUUCCAUGAUUGAAGUAUCAAUGAAAAAAAAAUGCUACAUAUCAGUACGGUACAAUAUUAAAAUUUAGAAAUGCACAAACAGUAGAGCCAAUUGUUGCCUUAUGGAGGCUUUCGUGACAUCAUCGGAAAAUAACGGGGACAAUAAUCCCAGUCUUUCCCAGACUAUACACUGCUACAAAUUGGUAAUUCAUAUUUUUGACGCGUGUACAGUAGCAUUUAAUACUAGUACUGAACAAACAUCAUUUCUUUAUGACGAUGAGCAUUUAAUUAGGGCCCUUUUUUCAAAGCACUAAAUUGUUGUCACUGAUUACUUUGCUUAAUGCUUCUUAAAAUUCAUUUUCUUAUAUUUUUUUCUUCUAGUGUAUAAAUCAUACUACCACUUGUCCUAACCUACUAUGUAGUACUACAUCCGUUUGCCUGUCAUUUUAAACAUCUACAUAUAGUAUGUAAUGCAUAUGUUUUAUCACUGUCUUUUCUAACUAUAUGUUUAUUAUCGUAGACUAGCAAAAUGCUUAAGCUUUGCUAUGGACAGAGGAAAAAAAAUCAUGAUAUAUCAUAGCAAAAUAUAUUCUAGUCUCACUUGUUUGCUCACUUGAUUAUUGGUUAUUCACUUGUUUGACCGAAAUAUUGGACUACAUUAGAAAAUAUGAGGGGAUAAUUUGUAAAAUACUGCAAAAGCAAGAUGGCAGAUUCACUGGCACCACCAGUAGAGAUUUUUAAAGGAGUACAGCUAUUGAAAUUAUAACUAUACCGUGCUUUUUAUUAUGAUUAUAUCAAUACUAUUCCCUCAUGUCAAAUCCUAAUUAUGGUAUUAAUCAAUAAUUUAACAUUUCUAGAUUUAAGUGCACAUAUUUUAGGACAACAUGUAUUUAAGAACAGAGGUAAUAAGUAUUUGUUACGUCAGUUUCUCAAAACAUUAAAUCCCCAAAAAAAAAGGAGUUUUGAAGGGAGAGACGUCCCUCCAAAUAUUUUUUUUAAAAAAAAAUUAUAAGGGCAGCCACAAUGUGGCCAUAAGAAGAGGCCAUAAGAUUUUAUAGUGACCAUAUAUAUUGUGAAACAAAGCCAUAAGACAUUAAAUGCAAAAGAAAGCUUUAAGCUUAUGGCUUGACCACAAGCAAUAAAAUAAUAGGAUAAAAUGAAUGUGAGGAUGAAAAUUGGCAUGGCUGAU